rnacentral:rRNA from 1 species
ACAGGUGGUGCAUGGUUGUCGUCAGCUCGUGUCGUGAGAUGUUGGGUUAAGUCCCGCAACGAGCGCAACCCUUAAGCUUAGUUGCCAUCAUUAAGUUGGGCACUCUAAGUUGACUGCCGGUGACAAACCGGAGGAAGGUGGGGAUGACGUCAAAUCAUCAUGCCCCUUAUGAUUUGGGCUACACACGUGCUACAAUGGACAAUACAAAGGGCAGCGAAACCGCGAGGUCAAGCAAAUCCCAUAAAGUUGUUCUCAGUUCGGAUUGUAGUCUGCAACUCGACUACAUGAAGCUGGAAUCGCUAGUAAUCGUAGAUCAGCAUGCUACGGUGAAUACGUUCCCGGGUCUUGUACACACCGCCCGUCACACCACGAGAGUUUGUAACACCCGAAGCCGGUGGAGUAACCUUUUAGGAGCUAGCCGUCGAAGGUGGGACAAAUGAUUGGGGUGAAGUCGUAACAAGGUAGCCGUAUCGGAAGGUGCGGCUGGAUCACCUCCUUUCUA